rnacentral:misc_RNA from 1 species
GAUGAAGAACGUAGCGAAAUGCGAUAAGUAAUGUGAAUUGCAGAAUUCAGUGAAUCAUCGAAUCUUUGAACGCAUCUUGCGCUCCUUGGUAUUCUGAGGAGCAUGCUUGUUUGAGUAUCAGUAAACACCUCAAAGACUUCAAUUUGUUUUGAAUGGCUUUGGACUUGAGCAAUCCCAACACCAGUCUUUACGAUCGGUGGAGGGUUGCUUGAAAUGCAGGUGCAGCUGGACAUUCUCCUGAGCUAAAAGCAUAUUUAUUUAGUCCCGUCAAACGGAUUAUUACUUUUGCUGCAGCUAACAUAAAGGGAGUUUGACCGUAUUGGCUGACUGAUGCAGGAUUUCACAAGGGUCGGCAACGAUUCUUGUAAAACUCGAUCUCAAAUCAAGUAAGACUACCCGCUGAACUUAAGCAUAUCAAUAAGCGGAGGA